ensembl:lncRNA
CUCACGCUCAUGUGAGGCACCAAUAACAUGGGCUAAAUUACCAGCACUUAUUUGCUGCAUCCCCUGCAAGAGCCUGAACUCCCCUGUUUACGGCCAUGCCCUAACAUCCCAUUCUCCCCCAGCCAUGAUCUCAAAUCCGGCACUUUGAAAACCCUCAUCCUGCUUUUCUCACAAGAUUGUGAGGAUUCACCUGUGGAUUAAAUGGGGACAACAAAAAAGAACAUCUUUUCCUGAGUGGGAUUUAACAUCAACUGGGUGAAACGGUCCAAAUAAGAUUGGGAUACACAAGCGAAAUCAAAGGACACUCGGCUGAAGUACCACCAUGGCUCAGGCAACUAAAGGUCCCGUGGUGAAGUCCAUCCCUCCCACUGGUGUAGCUGCCCCGGCUAGAACAGCACACACAGACUCACUUACUGCCGGGAGCCAUGGAAUUUUACGAAUCAUGAAUCGCCCGGCACAGUGGGUGGUCAUCAUCACACUUCUGAUUUCUUGGUCAAUAGCAGGUGUUGUCAUGUUUGAUUUUGUCAGUGACGAUCAGAUUGCAAGCAUCCAGGAUUUUGGCUCUGAUCCAGUGCUAGCAGUGAGCAAGGCCAUCGAAGGCAUUGAAAACUGGAUAAACCAUAUGAACGAUAUGCUUUAUGAUGCUCACGAGUACAUCACUGAAAUAAUAUUUAAUCCGAGGGAAGCUAUUAGUUUAGCAGCUGACUCAUCUGUGUCUUAUCUGUCAGGAAUAUUUAGUGCUGAUGGAGAUUCAGGAGUCACUGAAACAGUGAAAUAUGGUGGCACUGUAUUGGAUGAGGCUACAGAAUGGAUCAGAACCCCAGUGAGCUACUUAUUCCACUUGUUUGAAGACAUAUUGGAUAUAGUGAUUACUCCAGUGGAUAUGGUCACUGAAGUUGCUGUGCAAAUUUUAAGUGGGAUCAAGACCAUUAUACAAUAUAUUUCAACCAUGUUUGGGGGCAUUGAAGGGGAUACAGGCAUCACUGAAACAGUGAAACUUGGUGGUACUUUAUUGGAUGAGGUUACUGAAUGGAUCAGAUUCCCAGUGGGCUACUUAUUCCACUUAUUUGAAGGCAUCUUGGAUGUAGCAAUCAUUUAUCCAGGGGACAUUGCCACUGAAGCAGUUCUGCAAAUUUUAAGUGGGAUCAAGACCAUUUCUUCAACCAUAUUUGGAUACCUUGAAGUUUGGUUUCCCAAAAUGAGCACUGGUCCCGCAGAACUGGCUGAAAUUGUUGUAGAGAAGGCCACAGACAUAAAGACCACUGUCUCUAAUUACCUAACCAGUCUGUUUGCAGUGGAUGAAGGUGGUAUUCCUGACAUUAGCUUUGAUCCCAUGAAAGUUGUCACAGACACUGUUGAGGAGUUUGCUGACAGGAGGGAUAUGUUCUUGGCCUAUCUCUCCAACAUGGAAGACAAAGAUGACACACCGCAAGUGAUAAGACGGAAAGGAGAAUUUCUGCCCCCUAUGGAAAAAGUUCUUGAACAAGUGAAAGAAGCCAAAGAGAAAAAAGCUAGAGAGGAGAUAUACAAAAUCAUUCAAGAUAUGAGGGAAAAGAAGGCUGAAAGUAAAGAGGAAGAGAUAACACUGCAACGAAUAAACAUAACAGUAGAAAAAGUCAAGAAGAAAAAGGAGAUAGAAAAGGCUAAAAGAAAAGAAAAAUCCAAAGAGGACAAGACUCGAGAACCAACAGAAAAGGACACCAAGAAAAAAACUGAGAAAAAGGUCAAGGUGACUAAAGUGGGCGAGGAACCCCCUCUAAAAAAGAAGAAAUCUGAAGCUAAAAUGGCCAAAAAAGAGACCAAACUAGCAACAUCUAAGAAAGAGCCUCGAGUUACAAAAGAAAAGGCUAAACCAGCUCGUUCAAAGAAAGAAGCUGAAGUUGCUGUUAAAAAACUAAAACACGCUCCUGCAAAGAAAGAGCCUGAGGUUUCCAAAGAGAAGGCCAAGCUGAAGCCCUCAAAGAAAGAAGCUAAAGCUCCCAAGGACAAAAUUAAACCGGCCCUUUUGAAGAAAGAGCCUGAUGUUUCUAAGGAGAAAGAAAAACCACCAACUGCAAAGAAAGAAGAAAAGCCAACAACCGCUAAAAAAGAGCCUGCAGUUGCAGAAGAGAAAGUCAAACCAGUGCCCUCAAAGAAAGAUACUAAAGCUAUUAAGGAGAAAGUGAAACCAGCCCCAGUUAAGAAAGAGCCUGAGGUUUCCAAAGAAAAAGCCAAGCCAAAACGUUUAAAGAAAGAGGCUAAAUCUGUUGAAGAGAAGGCAAAACCAGCACCAGCUAAAAAAGAGAAGGAGAAACCUCCAAAGAAAGCUGUAAAAGAAAAGCCCAAACCUGCUUCUGUAAAGAAAGAACCUAAAUUUCCAAGAGAGAAAGCAAAACCUAAACCUUCCAAAAAAGAGGCAGAAGUUGCCAAAGACAAGCAUAAACCUGUCACUGUGAAGAAAGAACCUGCUGUUGCAGUUGAAAAGGCAAAACCGAAACCUGCACCAAAGAAAGUUACCAAAGAGAAAGCUAAACCAGAACCUGCAAAGAAAGAACCUGAGAUAACCAAAGAAAAACCGAGAGCACCAAAGAGAAAGGCUCAAGUUAUUAAGGAGGAAGCUAAACCAGCUCCUGCAAAAAAAGUCUUCAAAGAUGUUAAACCAGCCCUUAAGAGAAGAGAGGCUAAAGUAAUGAAGAAGAAAGUUAAACCGACUCCUGUAAAGAAAGAGCCUGAAGUUGCUAAAGAAAAGGCACCUGAAUCAGCACCAAGAAUAGAAAAGCCAAAGCCAGCACCAAAGAUAGUGGCUAAAGUCAUCAAGGAGAAACCUAAACCAGUUCCUGAGAAGAAAGAAGCUGUAAUCAUCAAAAAGAAAGUUAAACUGGCUCCAGUAAAGAAAGCACCUGAGAUAAUCAAAGAAAAGCCAAAGCCAGCACCAAAGAAAGAGGCUGAAGUCAUCAAAGAGAAAGCUAAACCAACUCCUGAAAAGAAAGAAGCUGUAAUCAUCAAAAAGAAAGUUAAACUGGCUCCAGUAAAGAAAGCACCUGAGAUAGUCAAAGAAAAGCCAAAGCCAGCACCAAAGAAAGAGGCUGAAGUCAUCAAAGAGAAAGCUAAAGCAACUCCUGAAAAGAAAGAGACCGAAGUCAUCAAGGAGAAAGUUAAACCAGCCCCUGUAAAGAAAGUUAAAGUUCCAAAGGAAAAGACAAAACUUGUCCUUGAAGCAAAGGAACCCAAAAUAACUAAGGAAAAGCCAAAGCCAGCACCAAAGAAAGAAGCUUUAGUCAUCAAAGAGAAAGCUAAACCAGCCCCUGUGAAGAAAGAGUCUGAAAUUAUCAAGGAAGAAAGAAAGAAAGCUAAACCAGCUCCUAAGAAGAAAGUGGCUGAAGUCACCAAGGAGAAAGCUAAGCAAGCUCCGAUGAAGAAAGAGCCUGAAGUCACUAAAGAAAAGUUAUUAGAACCAACUCCAAAAAAAGAGCUCCUGAACUCUAUCAGCCAAAAACUGUCUCUUCUGGAUUUACUGAGGAAGGACAUUGGUGAAAUGAAGAGUGAUCUGGAGUCCACUCAAAAUCAAAUUACGCUUUUACGAAUGGACAACAGAACAAUCAAAGAGCCAAAGACUGUUGGUGUAAAGGUAAAACCAGCAGUCUCCAAGGAAAAGGUCAAAACAGCAAAAAAAGACCAUGAUGCUCUGAUGAACGUUACAGCACAUAUUAAAGCAGAAGCUGAAAUCAUCAAAAAGAUAAAAGAUAAAGUUAAACUGGCUCCUUUAAAGAAAGAACGUGAUGCACUGAAAAACAUCACUAAACCAGCACCUGCAAAGAAAGAUAAAGAGGCUCCAAAAGCUAAGAUCAGACCACAGCCCAAAAAGAAAGAAAUCACCCAUGAGAAGGUCAAACAAGUAAAGGAACCUUUACAGAAAGUCGAGCCAACUAAGAAGGAGGCUGUUGUGGGCAAGGAAGUAAAAGGAGAAGAACCUGAUGUCUCCAAAGAUAUUCCAGAGAUGGAGGAUGAGGAUGUUCCCUACUUCCAGUGUUUCUUUGUGGAUGAGGAUGAUACUCAGUAUCCAUUCUUCCCCUUUUCACCACCGCUGUGGUGAAACUAGCCAAACCUCGUAUUCUGAUGUUAAACAACAUGGCAAAGCCAGUGAAGACGGACCUCUGAACGCUCUGAUGCAGUGGAGAGCUUCACAGUAGGUCCUACAGCAUUACACCAGCAAUGACCAAGAAAUGUGAAAGAGAUUUAAGUUACUUCCUGGAUCUUAAAACUCGAAAACUUCCUUCUCAGAUUCUUUGUCAUUUUGAAGAACAGAGUUUGCAAAUAUUGCGCUAUUUAUUAUAUCAUCUUAAGGCUAUCCAUCUUUUUAUUAAUACCAUGGAUUUGCCUUUUGUUUCUGAAUGAUUACUAUCUAUUUAUGAUUAAUAUAUAUGUCCAAGAAGGACAGGAAGAAAUGAAAGAACUAACUUCCUUUCUGAACAUGCAGUGGGGUUCAGGAUUGUAAGAUUAUAUAGUCUUUUAUAUAAACAUGAGGCGUGACCUCGUUUUGAUGGGGUGCUAAUUCUAAGCAUUCCACUGUGUUUUCUGUCAGAAUGGGGUUUGGAAGUUGUUCACGGUUCGUACAACUGGAAGGAAGGAUAUAAUAAAACAAGAAAUAUGUAAACUAUUUCAUAUAUCCUUUCUUAGUGAUACCGUUUACUAAACUGUUUACAGAAGUAACAGCUGCACUGAGAAAUACGGGCUUUGGACCGUAAGCUCAGUUCCUCAGAAUGUAUACAUCAUUUUAUUUAUAUAUUAUUUUUAUUUUGUUUUAUUCCUCUCUCUUUUUUAGCUUUCCAUACAUUUUACUUAAUAUAACUUGCCAAAUGUUUUAUAAAUCUAUACUUCAGAGGAAACAAAUAUGUUUUGUUCAGUGCUCUUUAUAAAUGAUUUUGCAUAACAAAAUUAAGAUAAGCUGUUGUGCUAAAUCCAAGAAAAAGCAUCAAACAUCAAGGCAACUACGUUGUUCUAGUAUAUCACAUUGCAAACACUACUGUUUUUACUUUUAUCUGCAUAACAUUAAUAGUUUAUUUAAGAUAAUGUCUGUAAAAAUGUGGGUGUGUUUUUGCAAUAUUACAUGGAUAGACCUACCUAAUAGAGAAGAGACAAUUAAAUAGCAUUCUGAAUUGUGUAACAAAAAUUGUCUGUUCCACAUUAUACUCAUACAGAAGAUUUUUUUUUAUUAUUAUGGGAUAAUGUGUCAAAUUAAAUUUAUUGCAUGCAACCACCGUGUGUUUCAACACUGCCCCUGGUGGCUCCCUGGCUCAUUACUCCAUUGCUUGAUUUAAUGAUAUUGAGUGUUUAAUGGUAUGUACUAGUGAGACACACCAUUAAACUAGUGUGCCGGUGGGCUGCCCUGGAGACAUUUCUUUUACUGCCACUGUCUUUUCUGUAUGAGUUCAGCAUGUGGCUCCAUUGAACAUAAACUCAUGUCUGUACAAAGAGCUUUUUUACCUCUGAUGUUAAGUAACUUAGGGUGAUCGUACGUUCUGUUUUUCCCAGACAUGUCCUGGCCAGGAUUUCUAAAUUGCCUAAAAUGUCAUUUUUUUGACUUUCUGAAGGUAAUGACUGUAAAGUAGUUUCACCAGCAUGCAGGCAUUGUGCUUAAUCGACCAGUUGUGGCCUGCGAGAAGGUGGGAUCUACAGAGAAGAGUCAAAGCAGUGCAAAUACAUGUACACAUAAUGUCUGAGGACUCUAGAGAGGAAACGCCAAAACCUGGACAUUUUAGGCAAUGUAGAAAUCCCGAUCAGGAUAUGUCUGGCAAUAAGAGGAUGUAUAGUCAACUGUACAAAUACAUAUUGUAGCAAUGCUCACUUGUAACAGAUAUACAGGUCUUUUUUGGACUUUUUUGGACUUUUCAAGUAAAUUAUGAGCUUGUUGGUGUGUUCUCAAGCAAACUGUGAAGCAAUGAAUAACAGCAUUUUUCAAUAGUUCAUAUAGUUCUUUAAGAUAUGUGUACUGUUAUUUUAAACCUAAUUUACAGUUCAUAUUUGAAAAAUGUUCCUCAAAGAUAAUAGUUUGCAUGAUGUUUGCAUGAAUUUUGUUUAAAAAUGUAUCUAAACCAGACCAUAUUUAAUUUGUGUGUGUUUUUAAUUGGAAUUACAUAAUUUCAUUGAAAAUGUAUAAUGUAAUAUUAUAUUCAUUUGGGUUUGUUUGUUUUUUUGCAUGGUUUUGAAGUUAGAUGUUGAAAACAUUCUCUGUACAAUGUAUAGCCAUAAACUGAAAUCAUAUUUAUAAAGCUCUAAACAGAAUCAACAAUAUGGUCUCCAGUCAAAAAAAAAAAGGCCUGUAUGCAACUGUAAAUGCUAUUGUAACUGUAAUACAGACUUGAUACAGUCUGAUUUAAGUUUUAGAAUAAAUAAAUGUUUGCAAUAAUCACAA